rnacentral:rRNA from 1 species
UACGAAGGGGGCUAGCGUUGCUCGGAAUCACUGGGCGUAAAGCGCACGUAGGCGGCUUUGUAAGUUAGAGGUGAAAGCCCAGGGCUUAACCCUGGAAUUGCCUUUAAGACUGCAUCGCUAGAAUCGUGGAGAGGUGAGUGGAAUUCCGAGUGUAGAGGUGAAAUUCGUAGAUAUUCGGAAGAACACCAGUGGCGAAGGCGACUCACUGGACACGUAUUGACGCUGAGGUGCGAAAGCGUGGGGAGCAAACAGG